ACGGCUCAGUAACACGUGGCUAAUCUGCCCUUGGGACCGGAACACCCCCGGGAAACUGGGGCUAAUUCUCGAUAGGUGAAGAACUCUGGAAUGAGUCUUCGCCUAAAAGACGCUUGCGUUAUGCUCGUAGGCGUCGCCCAAGGAUGAGGCCGCGACCGAUCAGGUUGUUGGUGAGGUAAUGGCUCACCAAGCCUUUUACCGGUGCGGGCCGUGGGAGCGGGAGCCCGGAGAUGGGCACUGAGACAAGGGCCCAGGCCCUACGGGGCGCAGCAGUCGCGAAAACUUUGCAAUAAGCGAAAGCUUGACAGGGCUAUCCCGAGUGCCAUCCGCUGAGGAAGGCUUUUACCCAGUCUAGAACGCUGGGGGAAUAAGGAGAGGGCAAGUCUGGUGUCAGCCGCCGCGGUAAUACCAGCUCUCCGAGUGGUGUGGAUGUUUAUUGGGCCUAAAGCAUCCGUAGCUGGCUAAGUUAGUCCCUUGUUAAAUCCACCGAAUUAAUCGUUGGAUUGCGGGGGAUACUGCUUGGCUAGGGGACGAGAGAGGCAGACGGUAUUUCCGGGGUAGGGGUGAAAUCCUAUAAUCCCGGGAAGACCACCAGUGGCGAAGGCUGUCUGCUAGAACGCGCCCGACGGUGAGGGAUGAAAGCUGGGGGAGCGAACCGGAUUAGAUACCCGGGUAGUCCCAGCUGUAAACGAUGCAGGCUAGGUGUUUGGACGGCCACGUGCCGUUCUAGUGCCGCAGGGAAGCUGUUAAGCCUGCCGCCUGGGGAGUACGAUCGCAAGGUUGAAACUUAAAGGAAUUGGCGGGGGAGCAC
rnacentral:rRNA from 1 species